rnacentral:rRNA from 1 species
GGGGAAUCUUGCACAAUGGGGGAAACCCUGAUGCAGCGACGCCGCGUGAACGAUGAAGCCCUUCGGGGUGUAAAGUUCUUUCGACGGGGACGAUAAUGACGGUACCCGGAGAAGAAGCUGCGGCUAACUACGUGCCAGCAGCCGCGGUAAUACGUAGGCAGCAAGCGUUGUUCGGAAUUACUGGGCGUAAAGAGUGCGUAGGUGGUUGGCCAAGUUUGGUGUGAAAUCUCCCGGCUUAACUGGGAGGGUGCGCCGAAAACUGGUUGACUAGAGUGUGGGAGAGGGACGUGGAAUUCCUGGUGUAGCGGUGAAAUGCGUAGAUAUCAGGAGGAACACCUGCGGUGUAGACGGCGUCCUGAACCAUGACUGACACUGAGGCACGAAAGCGUGGGGAGCAAACA